AGAGAGAGGGAAAGAAACAGAGAGAGAGAGAGGGAGAGAAACAGAGAGAGAGGGAGAGAAACAGAGAGAGAGAGGGAGAGAAACAGAGAGAGAGAGAGAAACAGAGAGAGAGAGAGGGAGAGAAACAGAGAGAGAGGGAGAGAAACAGAGAGAGGGAGAGAAACAGAGAGAGAGAAACAGAGAGUGAGAGAGAAACAGAGAGUGAAACAGAGAGUGAGUGAGAGAGAGAAACCGAGAGUGAGAGAGAGAGAGAGAAAGAGAGAGUGUGAGAGAGAGAAAGAGAGAGUGUGAGAGAGAAACAGAGAGAGAAAGACAGACACAGAGAGAGAAACAGAGAGAGAGAAAGAGAGAGAGAAAAACAGAGAGAGAGAAACAGAGAGAGAAAGAGAGAGAGAAAAACAGAGAGAAAGAGAAACAAAGGGAGAGAAACAGAAAGAGAGAGGGAGAGAAACAGGGAGAGAAACAGGGGGAGAGAAACAGAGAGAGAGAGGGAGAGAAACAGAGAGCGAGAAACAGAGAGAGAGAAACAGAGAGAGGGAGAGAAACAGAGAGAGAGAGAGGGAGAGAAACAGAGAGAGAGAGAGAGAGAGGGGGAGAGAGUGGGAGAGAAACAGAGAGUGAGAGCGAAACAGAAAGUGAGAGAAACAAACACAGAGAGAGAGAGAAACAGAAACAGGGAGAGAAACAGAGAGAAAGAGAGAGAAACAGAGAGUGAGAGAGAAACAGAGAGUGAGAGAAACAAACACAGAGAGAGAGAGAAACAGAGAGAAACAGAGAGAAAGAGAGAGAAAGAGAGAGAAACCGAGAGAGAAACAGAGCGCAACAGAGAGAAACAGAGAGAAACAGAGAGAGAAACAGAGAGAGAGAGAGAGAAACAGAGAGCGAGAGAGAAACCGAGAGAGAGAAUCCGAGAGAGAGAAAGAGAGAGAAACAGAGAGAGAGAGAAUCAGAAACAGAGAGAAACAGAGUGAGAGAGAAACAGAGAGUGAGAGAGAAACAGAGAGAGAGUGUGUUAGUAUGUCUUUGAUCUCCAGUAGGUUGGCGGCUCAGGUAAAAAGACACCUUGGCUUCCCAGAGCGGGAAGGUAUUGAUCCCCCUCUCCUCUAACAAGUGAAGAUUUGGGCAGAUUCCCUUUCCGUUUCUGAAAGAAAUAUAUCCCUCUCUCCUCUCCCGUUUAUCUCUCCACUCUUCCGAAGAGCACCUCCAAUCCCCCCAUCCCUCUCCAUCCCCCAAAGCCAGGCAGCAGGGGGAACCCUGUUUGUAUAGCCUUCCGUAAGCCCUCCGAUCCAAAGCGGCCUUGCAGAUACAGACAUAAACAUUCAAAUGUAGACACACAUUUCUACACACUUUACCACUCUUUUUCUCCCUCAAUCUAUCCUAAGGUGUGUGCAGCAGACAGAAUAAAACUUUCUGCAGGUACUGUAUGUGGAAAGAUUUAUAAACCCACCAAAAC
rnacentral:lncRNA from 1 species